UCUUGGGUCCUCCAACAUCAGCCAAUCAGUCAUGUCUCGAGAGCGCACUGGCGCGAGGGCCCACCCUCCAGUGACCAUACAAGGUAACACUGGAAUGUAUGUCUUAGCAGUCCAUCUGCUUCAAAAGACAGACUCACAGAGAAAAGUAGUGUGGGUCCCACACUGAAGAUCAAACCCAAUUUUUACUCUGGCUUGAACUCCCGCUCACCGGAAAUAUGCCGAGGCUUUGGGAGAACGUUGUAAAGCGGACGCCGAGCGGCUUCACUUGUGCAAAAUUUGCUUUUGUGAUAGACGAUCAAAAGCCUAAGAUUGCACUGCACCAAGUGGAGAUAAGAAGCAGUGGAAACCUCAAGCGGUCCUGCUGUGGCUGCUGCCCCCGAUGACAGCUUUCAACAGCACCACCUCAGCAGAGAACGAGAACGACGCCUGUGUGGAUUCCUGCUCAGAAACAAGAUGAACAAGAAGGAGAAACCAAAGGUGUGGAAGAAACAGACCAGUUUCCUCUCGUCGCGUGUGGACGUCGAGACGGAGCGACGGCUGCAGCACGACUGGAAGUUGGUAUUAUUCAGUGUGGACCUACUGGGGCUUCAAGUCAUCUCCUGUUUACUCCCCCCCUCCCCCUGAAAGAACACUUCACUCCCUCCCUUUCCUCCCCACUAAUCACCUCUUAGAGACAGUUGUCAUGAUAGUUUUGUCCCAGCUGUGUUUUAUAACACAGGUUCUAUUUCUAUUCAGGACGUGCACGGUUUCCAUGUUUAUUCUCUCCUUUCCCUCCCCCAGCUGCUUUAAUUUGCUGCGAUCCCUGCGGCCCAUGGUGCAGUGCUGCAUCUCUGGUCAGUUGGUAGUCUGAGAUGAAGCACUGUAGCUCGGGACGGAGGAAAGACGAUCUGAGACGAGCAUCGUCCAGGCCACGGGUCCUCUGACAGGCUGUCAGAUUAUAAACUACUAUCUAUUUAUUUAUUUUUACUAAUUGGGCGCAAAAUAGACAUUUGACAUUAGCAGGUGUUGCUCCUCUCUCCUGGGGUCCAGUUUUCCCAGGAAUCCCUUGACCUAUCAGAUAUGGGGAUUCCUGGAAAUACUGUUCUUGGGGGCGGGGAUUAUCGUCCGCGUGCAGCACGCUACACAAUAAUUUAGUAGUUUACAGAUUUAGAGUCGCAGACUUCGCGUCGAGCGGCUCGGGUGCUCUCUUCAUCCUUCCUGUCUGAGGGGCUGCAACGGGACGACUCGUCUGUACCAUUUAAGGUUUUCUGCUCAAUAAAGAUUCAAAACAAA